CUAUGACAUAGCAUCAUGAACAAGGAAAACCAAAGCACCAAGGAAGAUGAACAUAUUCUUGCCGAUGUCCCAUUACAGAGAAAACAGAGCAAGAAAAAAGGGGAUUGAUCUUCGAUCUAGAAAAUAGGGGAUCCAUCUUUCCAUUGAUCUUACAAACAAAAGAUAGCAACAUAGCAAAGAUGGCUACGGUUCCAAUGAAAUCUAAAGUUACUAAUUAACAGCAUAGCAAAGAUAACAACAUUGAUCUUCCACCGGCAGGGCUCGCUCACUCCAUCCACCCUCAUUCCGUGCCAUGACGCAGUGGCGACUCCACUUCUUCCUGUUCUCG
rnacentral:lncRNA from 1 species